rnacentral:sRNA from 1 species
UUCAAACAACACCCAUCAUUUUCAAAACCCUACCCACUUGCGCACCCCUGCCCCUAACAGGUGCCUGCUUGAUCCCAAACAGCCUCACUUGCGUAUCCUUCCAUGAACCGAUACCUGUCAGGCCUGCGACGUAGAUAUCUCCCCAGAGAAGGGAGGUGAGCCAGAUACUUGAUGCAGGCGACCACUGUCAAAAGAAUGUCAAUUCCGGUUUGGGUAGAGUGAUAAAUUAAUUUAAAGAAAAACGGGGGACGUACCUGGAACCGUCUAGGCAUAAUGGGCGGUGCGGGCGGCAAGACGUCUCCGAGCUCGACGUCUUUAAGGAUAUUGAACACUUUUUCGCUAGGCGCGCCCACGAGUGGUUGGGUUUCUUGGAUUUUCGGCAACAGUUCAGAGAUUGCGACGAGGACGGGGUCGAGCGGGAGGCUAUAGGUUUGAGAGGGGGGAGGGGUGGUAUUGGUUAGCUGGGUGGUGGAAAAAUGGGAAUUGGGAUGGAAGGAGAUGACGGGAAGAGACGUACCCCUUUUGCCAACUCGAAACCCAUUCUUGCGUGGGUACAUACCCAUUCGGUCCUACACCCGCUGCCGCAAUCUUGAUCAAUUCUUCUUCUUCUUCUUCUUCAACGUCUUCUUCUUUUACACCUCCUUCCUGAACAUUGGUGUUGAUAGUGGCGAGCGAGGUGGUUGAUUCUGUUGCUCGCAUCUUGCCUCGUGCUUUUUCGGACAUGCUGCGUGAUGGGGGCGGUGGGUUGGAAGAGUAGUCUGGCGUGGUGGUGGUGGUGGUGGUGGCAGGGGUGGGGGCGGGAGUAGCGGAUAGAGAUGGUACGUCGCCCUCGCCUGGGGUGCUUGCGUGUCCCUGUCCUUGGCCCUGGUCACCGGGGAGAUGCACAUCAUCUUCUUCUGGCUCGAGACCCAACAAUGCGGCUUUUUCAGCAAUCAUCUCUGCAUCCGAGGUGAUCCCAUUGUCCCGUCCACCAUCGCCUCCUCCUCCCCCUCCCCCUCCACCUAGUAUUCGAGCGGUAAGAGUAUUAGUGUAGGAGGAAUUGUUCGUGGUGGCAGAACCGGUACGUCCAUUCUUCUCCGCUAAAAUACAAGAUAUCAGCCCUCCAGCCUACUCCCUCGUCCGUUAGGCAAGAAACGGCCCAAGCUUACCGGCAGCGCGUAAAAACUUUCUUCGCUUGAUAUCCCUCAGACCGGACAUCAACGUAAACGUCGCGAGGGUUUGGAAAUCAUUGUGGGACCGGAGGAUGGCGUAUACGAGGUUUGGGUUCGCGUUCAGUUGGUAGUACAGGACCGAGUUGAAUGUUUCCAAUCUAUAAUCAAAAAAGGGUGGUUAUUUAAGAACACUUGUUGUAGACUUUUUUGGGGACUUGCAAAUAAUAAACCAAUCUCGGAUGACCUUCAUCACCCAACAAGAAAUUCGGUGCUGAAAACGCUUUAAACAGACCCAACAACCUGGCCGACGCUUGGACGCCAAUGUUGGUGAUGUAAGGGGAGAUGUUGGCGAUGGAGAUGGUUAGUGCUGGGAAGAGGGGGUUCAGGCCUGGGGUGGUUGCUAUACUGUAUAUCGACUGCAGGGGGGGGGGAGGUCAGCGCGUGCGCGGCAGUUGGAAGAAGGGGAGGGGGACUUGCAACAAUCAUGAAAUCAACUGCACUCCCCAUCACCCCCCACCUCGCGGGGACAGUUAUGCGGAUGGUCUGGUUGAGCGAUUUACCAAACGGUUCGUUGGCGGAGAGGGUUUGGAGGAGGUAGGAGAGGAGGCGGAGGAGGCCGUUUUGGGCUGCGUGCGUGUGUGUGUGUGUGAAUAAGUGGGAGAGGCGGGGACGGGGGGGAGAGGGGAAAACGUACCGGGAUCAUCUUUCAGCUCCAAGCAUGUUACCAGUAUAUACACCACCAAGUCUACCGUCUUGCCUGAUUGUUCGAGGAGAUGGGCUUUGAAUCGUUUAUUCAAGUCGACAAGUCGCCAGAGGAGAAUGUCUUUUUGUCGACUGUUUUAGUGGGGACGAAGGGGAGGCGCAGGGAGAGGGACGUACAUGUUUCGAGCAAACACCCUAUAUCCUUUUUCCCGACACCCACACCGCCGGGUAGAUAGCUA